rnacentral:rRNA from 1 species
UUUGUUGAUUGUCUUGUUUUAUGUUUAGUGGUUAAUUUAUUUAUUGAUUAAAAUAUUGCUUUGGUUGUUGUAUUGUUUUUGAUUUAAUUUUUUUACUAUAGGUUAUUUGUACCGUGAGGGGUUGAUUGGGUUUAAAUGUUUUGUUAAAAGCUGAUUUUGUUUGUUGUACCUUGUGUAUCAGGGUUCAUUGAAUUUUAUUAUUUAUUUUUAUUUCCCGAUUUUAAAGGAGUUAAUGACUUAUGUUAGUUACUGUUUCAUUAGUAUUAAUAAUAAGUGGUUGGUAGUGAAAUGCUAUUCGUCUUUAGUGGUUUCUGGUUUUUCAAGAAAUGAAUUUAAUUCAUGCAUCUUAUUUAAUUUCUGUUGUUGAUUUAAUUUAUUUUUAUUUGAUGCUAAGAUUGAGGGGGAUUAGCUCCUUGUUCUAGUUUUAUAAUUGUUUGUGGUUAAUUUAGUUUUGUGGAUUUUAUAGUGAUUUUCUAUUUGAUUAUGUUAAAAUUUUAUUUGUUCUUUUUUUAAUUUUUUUUAAUUUAAGUUAUUUAUUGAAAUGUUUUCUUUACUUUUGGUUUGUAUGGUAAUUAUUGUGUAAUUAGUAAAUUUUAUUGAUUGUUUUGUGAGAUGGUAAGAUGUUAAUUGCUUUUGAGGAAUUCGGCAAAUUUUUAUGUCCGCCUGUUUAACAAAAACAUCUUUUCUUGUUAGUUUUUGAAGUAUGGCCUGCCCACUGACUUGGAGUUGAAGGGCCGCGGUAUUUUGACCGUGCAAAGGUAGCAUAAUCAUUAGUUCUUUAAUUGUGAUCUGGUAUGAAUGGCUUGACGAGACAUAAGCUGUCUUAGGGGUAUUUAUUCAUUGUUUGUUUUAUUUACAUUGAGUGGGAAUAGAUUGUUUUGUUGGGGUGAUGGGAGGAAUAUUAUUUAACUCCUCUUUGUUUUUAUAUAUUUAUGUAUAUGUUUUUGAUCCAUUUAUUUUGAUUAUAAGAUUAAAUUACCUUAGGGAUAACAGCGUUAUCCUCCUUGAGAGUUCUUAUUGGCGGGGGGGUUUGCGACCUCGAUGUUGGAUUAAGGUGAAUUUUCGGUGCAGGAGCUGAAAGUGAUUGGGUCUGUUCGACCUUUAAAAUCUUACAUGAUCUGAGUUCAGACCGGCGUGAGCCAGGUUGGUUUCUAUCUAUAGAGUUGUUUUAUAUCUUAGUACGAGAGGACCGGAUAUUUGGAAUAAUUUCAGUUGUAUACAUUGGUUUUUGUUAAUGUU